GAUGCAGCUGGAUACUUUACUAAAUAAACACAAUUUCAAAAUAAAACACCCAGGUUUAUGGUGAUUUUGGCUGUCUUAACUUCUCAGCUGAGUCUGCAGCGAGACAUACGAUUAGGCACACGGAGAGAGAGUCCGACACACACACACACACACACACACAC